rnacentral:rRNA from 1 species
AGAGUUUGAUCCUGGCUCAGAGUGAACGCUGGCGGCGUGCCUAACACAUGCAAGUCGAACGAGAACGGGUUACAGUUUACUGUAACUGUCAGCUAAGUGGCGCACGGGUGAGUAAUAUAUAGUUAAUCUGCCCCAAAGAAGAGAAUAAUUGUUGGAAACGACUUGUAAUGCUCUAUAUGCCUUUAUCACAUAAGUGAGCAAGGGAAAUAUUUAUAGCUUUGGGAUGAGACUGUACGGUAUCAGUUUGUUGGUGAGGUAAUGGCUCACCAAGACUAUGACGCCUAACUGGUUUGAGAGGAUGAUCAGUCACACUGGAACUGAGACACGGUCCAGACUCCUACGGGAGGCAGCAGUGGGGAAUAUUGCACAAUGGACGAAAGUCUGAUGCAGCAACGCCGCGUGGAGGAUGACACAUUUCGGUGCGUAAACUCCUUUUAUUAGGGAAGAUAAUGACGGUACCUAAUGAAUAAGCACCGGCUAACUCCGUGCCAGCAGCCGCGGUAAUACGGGGGGUGCAAGCGUUACUCGGAAUCACUGGGCGUAAAGAGCAUGUAGGCUGGUUUGUAAGUUGGAAGUGAAAUCCUAUGGCUUAACCAUAGGACUGCU